AGGGCAAGUCUGGUGCCAGCAGCCGCGGUAAUUCCAGCUCCAAUAGCGUAUAUUAAAGUUGUUGCAGUUAAAAAGCUCGUAGUUGAAUUUCGGGGUCAGCAGGUUGGUCGUGCCAAUGGUAUGCACUGGCCUUGCUGAUUCCUCCCUCUUGAUGAGCCGUAAUGCCAUUAAUUUGGUGUUGUGGGGAAUCAGGACUGUUACUUUGAAAAAAUUAGAGUGUUUAAAGCAGGCAAGCGCUUGAAUACAUUAGCAUGGAAUAAUGAAAUAGGACGUUUGAUCCUAUUUUGUUGGUUUCUAGGAUUGACGUAAUGAUUAAUAGGGAUAGUUGGGGGCAUUAGUAUUCAAUUGUCAGAGGUGAAAUUCUUGGAUUUAUUGAAGACUAACUACUGCGAAAGCAUUUGCCAAGGAUGUUUUCAUUAAUCAAGAACGAAAGUUAGGGGAUCGAAGACGAUCAGAUACCGUCGUAGUCUUAACCAUAAACUAUGCCGACUAGGGAUCGGAUGAUGUUAAUUUUUUAAUGACUCAUUCGGCGCCUUACGGGAA
rnacentral:rRNA from 1 species